AUGGAGGCGGCUUUGGUAAGCGCCGCGACGGGGGUCCUCAAACCCGUCCUGGGGAAGCUGUCUGCUCUGCUCGGCGACGAGUACAAGCGUUUCAAGGGAGUGUGCAAGGAGAUCAGGUUCCUCAUGGAUGAACUUGAGGCCAUGCACGCAUUUCUCCUCAAAAUGUCAGAGGACGAGGAUCCUGAUGUGCAAGACAAAGUUUGGGCAAACGUGGUCAGGGAGCUCUCCUACGACAUGGAGGACACCAUCGACGACUUCAUGCAGAACGUCGAUGACAAAGACGCCAAGCCAGAUGGCUUCAUUGAGAAAAUCAAGCAUACACUAGGAAAGUUGGGCAAGAUGCAGGCUCGGCGACACAUCGGCAGCGAGAUCAAAGAUUUGAAGAAACAAAUCAUUGAGGUGAGCGAGAGGAAUGAAAGGUACAAGACACGUGGGAUCUUCUCCAACACCAGAAAUGCGUCUGUUGAUGCUAGAGCUCUUGCUAUCCUUGAGGAUGCCUCCAAGCUUGUGGGAAUUCAUGAACCUAUGGCUGAAAUAAUCAAGCUGUUGACUCAAGGUGCAUCAACAGAUGAGAAACCAAAGCUGGUCUCCAUCGUAGGAUCUGCAGAAAUGGGCAAGACAACUCUUGCAAACCAAGUGUAUCAAGAGUUCAAAGAGAAAUUCAAGUGUAAGGCUUUCAUAUCGGUGUCGCGAAAUCCAGACCUGAUGAAUAUCAUGAGAACUAUUCAUAGUCAAGUCAGUGGUCUACAUUUUGAUAACACCGAAGCAGGUAGCAUACAACAAGUCAUCAUGAAUAUCAACGGUCACCUAGCAGACAAAAGGUACGGUUUCUAUUGCAUGAACAUAUGUUUGGAAAUCUUACAAUGUCAAGUGAAAUCAAAUGGAGAGAGUACCAACUCUUGA
rnacentral:rRNA from 1 species